AUGUACAUUCUUAUAGGAGCAUUAAUGCACUGGAUCCCAUUAGAAAUCCAUUGUUAAGCGGACUCGGGCUAGAGUAGUACUGGGAUGGGUGACCACCUAAGAAGUCCUAGUGUUUUACAUG
rnacentral:rRNA from 1 species